CAGUGAUUGGACAAUACACUGCAACAGUUAUUGUACUGGAAACUGUAGCUAUAGGCUCAGCUCUGGGUAAUUUUACAGCUACAGAUGCAGAUGGGACGUCACCAAACAACAGGAUAGAGUACAAAGUACAAAGUGUCAGCCCAAACAGUGGUAGCAACCUCUUCUAUGUUGGUGAGAAGAGUGCUAUUCUAACAGUUGCAUCCUCACUCCAAGCUGACAGGACUGUCAACACUUAUACUGUCACUGUCAUUGCCUUUGAUUUGGGGACGCCAUCUUUAACUGCCACUGGUAUAGUCACAGUGACAUUAAAGCGCAACACCACACCACCUACCUGUAGUAGCACUAGAGCUAGUGCAGGGCUUCUCUUAAUAUUCAGUGCUGCUGCUCAUAUUAUUGUAUGCAACCGAUAUCUUA